CCUACGGGAGGCAGCAGUGGGGAAUAUUGGGCAAUGGGCGAAAGCCUGACCCAGCGACGCCGCGUGGGGGAUGAAGGCCUUCGGGUCGUAAACCCCUGUCAGGAGGGACGAAGCCCUGAUCAUAUAUCAGGGUGACGGUACCUCCAGAGGAAGCCCCGGCUAACUACGUGUCAGCAGCCGCGGUAAAACGUAGGGGGCAAGCGUUGUCCGGAUUCACUGGGCGUAAAGGGUCCGUAGGCGGCCUGCUAAGUCGGACGUGAAAGACCCUGGCUUAACUGGGGAAUUGCGUCCGAAACUGGUGGGCUAGAGCCCAGGAGAGGAAAGUGGAAUUCCCGGGGUAGCGGUGAAAUGCGCAGAUAUCGGGAGGAACACCAGUGGGGAAGCCGGCUUUCUGGCCUGUGGCUGACGCUGAGGGCGGAAAGCAAGGGGAGCGAAC
rnacentral:rRNA from 1 species